UACGAAGGGGGCUAGCGUUGCUCGGAAUCACUGGGCGUAAAGCGCACGUAGGCGGACUCUUAAGUCGGUGGUGAAAUCCUGGAGCUCAACUCCAGAACUGCCUCCGAUACUGGGAGUCUUGAGUCCGGGAGAGGUGAGUGGAACUGCGAGUGUAGAGGUGAAAUUCGUAGAUAUUCGCAAGAACACCAGUGGCGAAGGCGGCUCACUGGCCCGGUACUGACGCUGAGGUGCGAAAGCGUGGGGAGCAAACAGGG
rnacentral:rRNA from 1 species